rnacentral:rRNA from 1 species
UGUUGGUGGGGUAAUGGCCUACCAAGCCUACGACGGGUAACUGGUCUGAGAGGACGAUCAGUCAGAGGGGGACUGCGACACGGCCCCCACUCCUACGGGAGGCAGCAGCAGGGAAUCUUGCGCAAUGGACGAAAGUCUGACGCAGCGACGCCGCGUGAAGGAAGAAGGCUCUAGGGUUGUAAACUUCUUUUCUGAGGGAAGAGUAAGGACGGUACCUCAGGAAUAAGCCUCGGCUAACUACGUGCCAGCAGCCGCGGUAAUACGUAGGAGGCAAGCGUUGUCCGGAUUUAUUGGGCGUAAAGGGCGUGCAGGUGGCAUAGAAAGUUUUUGUUGAAAUCUCCCGGCUUAACUGGGAGGGGUGCAAGAAUACUUCUAAGCUAGAGGGCAGUAGAGGAAAGUGGAAUUCAUGGUGUAGUGGUGAAAUGCGUAGAUAUCAUGAGGAACACCAGUGGCGAAAGCGGCUUUCUGGGCUGCACCUGACACUGAGGCGCGAAAGCAUGGGUAGCAAACCGGAUUAGAUACCCGGGUAGUCCAUGCCAUAAACGAUGGAUACCGAGUAUGGGGGGUAUCGACCCCUUCUGUGCUGAAGCUAACGCGUUAAGUAUCCCGCCUGGGAACUACGGUCGCAAGACUAAAACUCAAAGGAAUUGACGGGGCCCCGCACAAGCAGCGGAGCGUGUGGUUUAAUUCGAUGCUAAGCGAAGAACCUUACCAGGGUUUGACAUACUAGUAGUACUGAUCCGAAAGGUGAUGGACCCCUCGGGGAGCUAGUACAGGUGCUGCAUGGCUGUCGUCAGCUCGUGCCGUGAGGUGUUGGGUUAAGUCCUGCAACGAGCGCAACCCCUGUGGUUAGUUGUUUUCUCUAGCCAGACUGCCCCACAAAAGGGGAGGAAGGUGGGGAUGACGUCAA